UCUGAUCUCUCUGAUCUGCUCCCUCACAGGCUGUUUACUGAUGACGUCAUAUUCGGCUCCCGCGGCAUCAGUAAACAGCCUGCGAGGGAGCACAUCAGAGAGAUCAGA